CCUACGGGAGGCAGCAGUGAGGAAUAUUGGUCAAUGGGCGGAAGCCUGAACCAGCCAAGUAGCGUGCGGUCUGACUUCCCUACGGUUCGUCAACCUCUUUUGCACUGGGAUAACACCCUCCACUUGUGGAGGUCUGCAGGUACCGUGCGAAUAAGGGCCGGCUAAUUCCGUGCCAGCAGCCGCGGUAAUACGGAAGGCCCGAGCGUUAUCCGGAUUCAUUGGGCUUAAAGGGAGCGUAGGCGGGCGUUCAAGUCAGCUGUAAAAUCGCGCGGCUCAACCGCGCCCCGCAGUUGAAACUGGACGCCUUGAGUUCACAACAGGCAGGCGGAAUUCGUGGUGUAGCGGUGAAAUGCAUAGAUAGCACGAGGAACCCCGAUUGCGAAGGCAGCCUGCCGGGGUGCGACUGACGCUGAGGCUCGAAGGUGCGGGUAUCAAACAGGAUUAGAUACCCCAGUAGUC
rnacentral:rRNA from 1 species